AGGGUCCGUCACGGUUGUCAAAGGGCUUCCAAAGGGCUCCCCUUUGCUCCCCUCAGGGUCCCAAAGGGCUCCCUCGAGACUUCCAAAGGGCUCCCCUCAGCGUUUCCACAGGGUCCCAAAGGGCUCCCCAAAGGGCUUCCACAGGGCUUCCCUCAGUCCCAAAGGGUUUCCCAAACGGCUUCCCACAGGGUCCUUUGCAGCUCCCCAAAAGGUUUCCAAAGAGUUUCCGAAGGGUCUGCAAGGGCUCCCCAGAGGGCUCCCCAGAGGGCUUCUGCAGGGCUCUGACAUUGCUCCCUCGGGGCUCUCCACAGGAUCUCUUGGGGCUCCCACAGGGCUCCUUUUGGGGAGCAGAGCAGCCACCAUGGCUUCUCCUAAGGUGUGGCAGCGGGAUGGUUCUGGGGAGGAAGGGCCCUCUCUGCUGCCUUUGCAUCCCACUCAAAUGCACCCAGAAGUCAGUCACGGGAGGACCGUUGUAGGGUCUCCAUGGGAAUACCACCACCCUCCCCAGGCACGGUGUUGGACUGUCCAGACAGUUCUCCCCUAAGUUGUCAUGUUACACCCUCUACCUCCAGAACAAGGGCCUUUCUCUGCUCUUCCUGGUGCCCUGACAUCCUCACCCCAACCUGCUACACCCCAUCCUUCACACAGAGCCUCUGGAGAGGUUCCCAGGACUGAUAAGUAAGAGAAGAACAUUACAUCAAAUGUCUGACGUGCAACGUCUGACAGCAUCCUGCGUGUGUACAGGAGUCUGGGACCAGUUUGACCACCCCAGUCUGACUAUCCCAUUUGAAGGACUUCAGCCCGCCAGGGCAGGACCAGGCCCUUCCACAGAAAUGUCUUACACUGAUAACCAACGUAUUUGUGUCCCACCCAGCCAAUCUCCAGUGUGGUGUUCAUAGUAGCAUACUUGGAACGUCGAGAAAGAUGCUGUCUUUCGAGAAGUCCUACAGGAUAUGGAACAUGUCUGAAGUGACAGAUCUAGGCUCUGCGCCUGAACAAGUUCAUCAUGUAUUGCUUAACUUCAUUCUGAAUAAAAUAUGUAAACCCUCAGCUGAAGUGGAAAAUACUCUUGCAAUUAGAAGACAAAAUAUCUGGAUGAGGAGAAGGAUGAAUAAGAAGUUCCGGGACAAGCAGUGUCUAAAGAGUCAUUCCAGUGGGCCGUCUCAUGUGAAAUGACCUUGUUUCUUAUCUCUCAUGAGGAAGAUUUUAUACAGGACUUUGCUGGGAAAACUAUUGCUCCUUUGAGUCAAUGUUGGUGCAGUAUGAGAUAUAUCUAAGGCAGAAAUUCCAUAUACAGGGUUUGGGGAUGUGUAAGACCUUUAAAAGGUUGCCCGAAGCUAACGAAUGGUGAGUCAGUGACAUAUGAAAGAGCUGAAAUAAUAAACUUUAACUGAUAUAUGUAGCGUAUGCAGUGCUUCCACUAGUAGUGUCACAAGGAGAGUAGUGAAAUUUUUCAUUGUCAAAGAGUUUUGUGGACACUGACUGGUCUCUUGUUAGGCAAACUCAAUCCUGUCAUAAACGGGAACUCCACCAACUCCAGGAAAGAUGUGUCUUUUGUCACUGGUGCUUAUACCAGGUCCACAGAGGUGGAAAUACUCACAUCUCCAGACUGCUGAGUGGGAGAUGCCCUAAAAGCAACAAUAGAGCCCUGAUAAGAACGAAUGCAAGACAUUUCACAUUCAUUCCCGUGCUCCUGGAGGGCCAUGCCACCACUCAGAUAGAAGCACUGAAAAAAUGGGAUUUACCUGAAUUUGCAGCAGUUGAUAAAUGUGUCAGAAACAAGAGGAAAAGCAUCUGCUGAUGAAAGGUCACAUUACUACUGAGUCACCCUGUUGUGUUCUCCUGUUGCAGAGAUCUCUGCAGUAUGUGUCCUUAACCUGCUGAAGGGAUGGUGAUGGCUGUGAACUCCUUGGAGCUGUGCUGCUCUGCAGAGCUGUAUCUCACAUAAGUUCCUAAACUGAGUAGACAGGGUGUCCUCUUCUAUCCAGAAAAAAGAUUGCCUUCCCUCUGUUGGAUCAGACACAUACACUCCUAAAUCUGAUGCCAUUAAUGAGACCUGACCACGGUUCCCUGUGCUGGUCUGUCUCUCUGUGCCAAGGGCAAUUACAGGACGUGUUCUUGCAUCUGAGAGUGACUCUACAAGCUGAUCAGUUGACAAUUCAAUGAUUUUUUUGCAUCUAGACCUCAGCCUGUGCUUCCAGUUGACCAGCAGUCCCUUUGCUGUGUAGAGCAGUUAACCUGGCACAGAGCCAAAGCUUAUCCCGCUUAUUUUCCAUAUAGCCCGAAGCCCAUGCACACACAAACAUAAAUACGUGUGUGAAACAAUAUACUCUGAAAGGCUACUGAGGCUGUGCACUCCAGCAUUCAACAGCCUGCAGUGUCCAGAGUUUGCCUGGUUUUCCUCAUCCAGAUGAACUGUAAUUGAGUUAUCCACACCCUUUUCCUACAGGCAUCCCCUCACUCCACAUUGGCAAUGGUUGCUGCUCCUGAGGGAGCAGCUCCCCCCAUGAUUUAUUCUCCUCUUGUUUAACGUGCAGCGAUGGGGCUUUUUACUGCCUGUUAUUCAAAUUGGGCUUUGGGCACAAAAUUAUUCAUUUCCGUGUGGUUUUUCCACGGUGCUCAUGACAGCAGUGUCUGAGUGUUUCACAUGCACCAUUUCCUUUUCCAGCAAUUCUGAGAGGAUGCUGACCCUGUAUUAUCAGUGAGGAAAGAAGACAGGCAGCGAUGAAUUAAAGAAAGGGUCUUCAUAAUUCUGGAUUCUCCAUGUGAGUCACCUACAGCCCGAGAACUGUGAUGACAGACACACAGAGCUCAGCUCAGCUCCAGCAGUCACUGUACAACAAACAAACUGGAUCUAAAGAUCUCCCACCUAAACACCCAGGCAAGGCAGAGCACGCAGGCCAAGCAUUGGAAGAUGAGGAGAGUGAGAGCAGGAACAGAAGCAAGUGCAUGAUAACCUACUAAGAUAGUGUCUGUGCUGUGAAGUUCAAGGGCCCGUUUCCUUACAAACCACUCAGUGUGUCUGGCACCACGGAACUGAUGGGAACCACUCCCUGCAUUGAUCCAGCCAUGCAGACCUGAGGAUUAUUUGCCUACAAACAGCUAUUGUUUGCAGGAUUGAAAAACUAAAAAAAAAAAAACAAAUAUGUUUGUUUUCUCCACAGAUCAUGUUGCUUCCCACUUUCUCCAGAUAAGACACAUCUGGGGCCCGUGCCCAGGUUUCCAAAGCCGCGGUUGUCCAGGCAGGAAUAGAGGAGCCUAAAAUGUGCUUUCUUCUCCUGCUUCUUCCUCAGUGUCUCUUUGCUCUCACUCAUCCUCGCAUCUGUUCUGGGCCCAGUGCCCAACAGUUCUGCAUUAACGCCUCAGUACACACAGGCUCGCACAGCUGAACAGUUUGCAAUGCAACGUACCCGGUGCCGUCACGUCUUCCCGAAUCAAGCUCCUGCAAACAAUUUUUGUUUACGGGAAGAAGCACUUGCCUUCAUAAUGCUACUUGUGAGCUGUGCCCAGCUGACUCGAGCCAUUCCAGGUCUUCCCAGAGAAAUGGUUUUGCAGAGCACAGUCACGAAUCUAGGAAACACAGAACAGAGCAGGUAAACAAACAUCUUUAAAGAUGAUCCUGUCUCAGACCUUGAUCCUGCAAACCCGCACGGGCUUAAUGUUAAGCAUAUGAGCAGUCCCAGAUGACUUCAGCAGAGCUACUCGCAUUCUCACAGAGCAGAGUUUGCCAGAUCAGAGUCUUUAUGUCUAAUUGCAAAAUAAAAGGCAACUCUCCCAGUUCUAUCAACUGUAAUGAAUUGCUAUUAACAGCACAAUUUAAAAUAGCCGUGGGGCAGAUCCCUGGCAGACCCACUGGGGAUAAAGGGAUGUGGACUUGUUGCAACAGAACCUGGAAAUACUUUUUCUUGGACAAAGCCCUGUGCCAGUCAUAUGAAACACUAACACUGAUGAGGUUGUUUUUGUAGGCUUCGACCUGUGCAAAGCUUUUUUUUGUGGUUAUUCUCUGCACAGUUCCUCCCUUUUCUACCCUCUGGGUUGAAUUCUGCUGUUUGAACCAGAAGCUGGAAGCUCUGCUUGGGGGUACUUUCUGUAAGGAUUUGAUGAUGUUCCAACGUCCAAAGGUACCUUUACAAGUAAAAGUGGGAAAAAAACCAGACCACGGCCCCUGUCCACCAGGCUUUUGGCACCAGGUCAGCAUCCACGACCCUGGGCUGCGCGCGGGGUCCCAUCCGUGUCCCCUCGGGUGAGCACAAUAGGCGACAUUGUGUCCCGUCGCUUCCACUAACGGCGAGGCGGGGGGACAGGCGAAUCUGGGGGCACAGAGAGCAAAACCCACCCAUGCCUGUUAAUG